rnacentral:rRNA from 1 species
GGGUUGUGAGGUUAAGCGACUAAGCGUACACGGUGGAUGCCCUGGCAGUCAGAGGCGAUGAAGGACGUGCUAAUCUGCGAUAAGCGUCGGUAAGGUGAUAUGAACCGUUAUAACCGGCGAUUUCCGAAUGGGGAAACCCAGUGUGUUUCGACACACUAUCAUUAACUGAAUCCAUAGGUUAAUGAGGCGAACCGGGGGAACUGAAACAUCUAAGUACCCCGAGGAAAAGAAAUCAACCGAGAUUCCCCCAGUAGCGGCGAGCGAACGGGGAGCAGCCCAGAGCCUGAAUCAGUAUGUGUGUUAGUGGAAGCGUCUGGAAAGGCGCGCGAUACAGGGUGACAGCCCCGUACACAAAAAUGCACAUGUUGUGAGCUCGAUGAGUAGGGCGGGACACGUGGUAUCCUGUCUGAAUAUGGGGGGACCAUCCUCCAAGGCUAAAUACUCCUGACUGACCGAUAGUGAACCAGUACCGUGAGGGAAAGGCGAAAAGAACCCCGGCGAGGGGAGUGAAAAAGAACCUGAAACCGUGUACGUACAAGCAGUGGGAGCACAGAGCAAUCUGUGUGACUGCGUACCUUUUGUAUAAUGGGUCAGCGACUUAUAUUCUGUAGCAAGGUUAACCGAAUAGGGGAGCCGAAGGGAAACCGAGUCUUAACUGGGCGUUAAGUUGCAGGGUAUAGACCCGAAACCCGGUGAUCUAGCCAUGGGCAGGUUGAAGGUUGGGUAACACUAACUGGAGGACCGAACCGACUAAUGUUGAAAAAUUAGCGGAUGACUUGUGGCUGGGGGUGAAAGGCCAAUCAAACCGGGAGAUAGCUGGUUCUCCCCGAAAGCUAUUUAGGUAGCGCCUCGUGAAUUCAUCUCCGGGGGUAGAGCACUGUUUCGGCAAGGGGGUCAUCCCGACUUACCAACCCGAUGCAAACUGCGAAUACCGGAGAAUGUUAUCACGGGAGACACACGGCGGGUGCUAACGUCCGUCGUGAAGAGGGAAACAACCCAGACCGCCAGCUAAGGUCCCAAAGUCAUGGUUAAGUGGGAAACGAUGUGGGAAGGCCCAGACAGCCAGGAUGUUGGCUUAGAAGCAGCCAUCAUUUAAAGAAAGCGUAAUAGCUCACUGGUCGAGUCGGCCUGCGCGGAAGAUGUAACGGGGCUAAACCAUGCACCGAAGCUGCGGCAGCGACACUAUGUGUUGUUGGGUAGGGGAGCGUUCUGUAAGCCUGUGAAGGUGUACUGUGAGGUAUGCUGGAGGUAUCAGAAGUGCGAAUGCUGACAUAAGUAACGAUAAAGCGGGUGAAAAGCCCGCUCGCCGGAAGACCAAGGGUUCCUGUCCAACGUUAAUCGGGGCAGGGUGAGUCGACCCCUAAGGCGAGGCCGAAAGGCGUAGUCGAUGGGAAACAGGUUAAUAUUCCUGUACUUGGUGUUACUGCGAAGGGGGGACGGAGAAGGCUAUGUUGGCCGGGCGACGGUUGUCCCGGUUUAAGCGUGUAGGCUGGUUUUCCAGGCAAAUCCGGAAAAUCAAGGCUGAGGCGUGAUGACGAGGCACUACGGUGCUGAAGCAACAAAUGCCCUGCUUCCAGGAAAAGCCUCUAAGCAUCAGGUAACAUCAAAUCGUACCCCAAACCGACACAGGUGGUCAGGUAGAGAAUACCAAGGCGCUUGAGAGAACUCGGGUGAAGGAACUAGGCAAAAUGGUGCCGUAACUUCGGGAGAAGGCACGCUGAUAUGUAGGUGAAGUCCCUCGCGGAUGGAGCUGAAAUCAGUCGAAGAUACCAGCUGGCUGCAACUGUUUAUUAAAAACACAGCACUGUGCAAACACGAAAGUGGACGUAUACGGUGUGACGCCUGCCCGGUGCCGGAAGGUUAAUUGAUGGGGUCAGCGCAAGCGAAGCUCUUGAUCGAAGCCCCGGUAAACGGCGGCCGUAACUAUAACGGUCCUAAGGUAGCGAAAUUCCUUGUCGGGUAAGUUCCGACCUGCACGAAUGGCGUAAUGAUGGCCAGGCUGUCUCCACCCGAGACUCAGUGAAAUUGAACUCGCUGUGAAGAUGCAGUGUACCCGCGGCAAGACGGAAAGACCCCGUGAACCUUUACUAUAGCUUGACACUGAACAUUGAGCCUUGAUGUGUAGGAUAGGUGGGAGGCUUUGAAGUGUGGACGCCAGUCUGCAUGGAGCCGACCUUGAAAUACCACCCUUUAAUGUUUGAUGUUCUAACGUUGACCCGUGAUCCGGGUUGCGGACAGUGUCUGGUGGGUAGUUUGACUGGGGCGGUCUCCUCCUAAAGAGUAACGGAGGAGCACGAAGGUUGGCUAAUCCUGGUCGGACAUCAGGAGGUUAGUGCAAUGGCAUAAGCCAGCUUGACUGCGAGCGUGACGGCGCGAGCAGGUGCGAAAGCAGGUCAUAGUGAUCCGGUGGUUCUGAAUGGAAGGGCCAUCGCUCAACGGAUAAAAGGUACUCCGGGGAUAACAGGCUGAUACCGCCCAAGAGUUCAUAUCGACGGCGGUGUUUGGCACCUCGAUGUCGGCUCAUCACAUCCUGGGGCUGAAGUAGGUCCCAAGGGUAUGGCUGUUCGCCAUUUAAAGUGGUACGCGAGCUGGGUUUAGAACGUCGUGAGACAGUUCGGUCCCUAUCUGCCGUGGGCGCUGGAGAACUGAGGGGGGCUGCUCCUAGUACGAGAGGACCGGAGUGGACGCAUCACUGGUGUUCGGGUUGUCAUGCCAAUGGCACUGCCCGGUAGCUAAAUGCGGAAGAGAUAAGUGCUGAAAGCAUCUAAGCACGAAACUUGCCCCGAGAUGAGUUCUCCCUGACUCCUUGAGAGUCCUGAAGGAACGUUGAAGACGACGACGUUGAUAGGCCGGGUGUGUAAGCGCAGCGAUGCGUUGAGCUAACCGGUACUAAUGAACCGUGAGGCUUAACCUUACAACGCCGAAG